rnacentral:pre_miRNA from 1 species
CAUGCACCAGUGGGGUCCCUUGGCCUGGCCUGUGACCUCUCGCAAUCCAGGACCCCUUGGGGGAUGGAGGAGAGCCUGUUUUGGCCCCAUCCCACAGGCCAGGCCGAGGGACCCCACUGGUACAAG